CCUGUAGGACACUUCCAGGCCUGGCUCAUAAAACCCUGUUCCCAGUGCAGGCUAACGCGGAAUGGGUGGAGGCUGAGAGAUGGGCGCGUCCGUGAGCUGGAGGAGGCUGGACCCACGGAAAGCUGUCUAAAAUUCCAUCACAGAUGAAUGACUCCAGAGUGAGAAGAAUGAGAUCUUGGCAGUGGGGCUUGAUGGAAGGUGUCUGGAGAACCAGAUUGAUCAGUGUCUGAUGUGAGGAGCAGACCUAGCGGAAAGGAAUACAAGGCUCCUGUCCAAUUUCAUGGGAAAUUCCCAAGUCUACCCAGCAUUUGGAACUCUGAUUCAGACCGGCUGAGGUAGAGCCUGGGGCAGAAGGGGGUGGACACUAGGAACUAGAGUCCUGACUGGCAGACUAGGGAGAGCUCCUAAUUACCCCGGGCUGUUAUCUCUUUACACUGUCCCCAAAGCUCAGCAAGCGGCCAUUCCCACCUCUGCGACUGCUCCGCCCCACCCGCCCGCCUGCUGCUCAUGCUCGCCCUCCCUGCCCGGCCCGGAGGAGCACUAGUUAGCCACGCUUUGUGGAUUCCACUCGCUACACACCCACCAGCGACACUGAGACCUGAUAAAUUUUAUCUCUAGGGUCGAGAACAAACUCUCUGAGGACAAGGACCGACCCUUUCCAUUUUUUAUUCCAGCCCUGGUCCUAAUCUACUUAGGAGGCAUUCAAUAAAUCUUGAUAUGGGUGUGAACACUGGAUAUGGGGGUGGGAUCAAUCUCUGGGAAAGCCACAGCAUAGGCCCAGCCCCGACCCCAAAUCUGACUUUGUGGUUAUCUGGCGCGUUCUGGGAAUGUAAGCAGACACCCUGGGUGUCCAAAGAUCUCAUCUCACCAGUCUUUCCCUCAGCUUCAAAGUGAUAAUUGUUUGUUUGUUUAUUUGAUUGGUUGUUAAUUUGAUUGAAUAACUGUCUGUUGUUUGAUUUGUUUGAGACAUGUUCUCCUGUAGCUGAGGCUAGCCUCAGACUCAAACUGUGUAGCCCAGGCUGGCCGUAAGCUUCUUCCUAAUCCUCCUGCCUCCACCCCUCGAAUGCUGAGAUUAUACACCAGCAUCAUUCCUCAUUUGAUUUUUUCUGUUAUAGCCCAGAGUGGCCUUGAAUAUGCAGUCCUGCUUCAGCCUCCCAACUGCUGAGAAUAUUGUGAAUUUCUUCCACUAUAAUCAAUGAAACAAUCUGAAGUUCGGCCCUCUGACGUCUGUCCUUGGAUAAACCCAAGGGAACUUGAACAGAUGAAGAGAUGCAUCUUUGGAUGAAGACGGACACAGUUCUGUAGCUAAGCCGUGGAGAACUCGGCCUGUGGACUCUGCCUGUUUUGCCAUACAUACAUUCUGGGCUUCUGUUU